CCGGACUGGUGAGGGCUCGCCACUGUAAUAAUCCCAGCACUUGGAAGGCUGAGGCAGGAGGAUUGGCCGGAGUUCAAGGUCUGCACUGAAAAACCCUGUCAGAAAGCAAAGACCAUCACGUGUAUUCCUUUUCUCUUAGCUUCUGUAAAGCCAACCAAAAAAAGUCCACGGAUCCCAGUCUCUUGUUGCUAGGUAGGAACACACUCUGAUAGCGCUAGGCAACAGGCAUGAUGUGACAAACUCCACCAGACUUCAAAACUUUUUCCACAGAAAGAUAAACAAGAUAGACUUCGCGCCACACCCAUCGCAACGCCAAGGCGGCCAGGAGUACGCCCCCACCUCCAGCUGCUCAGGAAACUCUGUCUUACAACCGAGAUAAGGAUCGAGCCUGCAGUGUUCGGCCAUGCCUGGCUUCCAGGUUGGCCUGGGCUCCGCUCGCCGCUGCCAUGCAAACCGGAGUUGGGACGCACGCUCCGGAGAGCUGGCACAGCUCCAAACACCUCGACUAUGCUCGCCAGCUCCCUCGGCGACCAAAACGCCCCGGCUACUGAGCAUGCUCUGACCACCGGGGAGUUCUCAAGGCUCGCACUGCACUCGCAGCUCGGCGCAGCCAGGGAGCCGGGGCAGGGGCAGGGGGUGGAGGAUGCACUCAGUCGGGCACGCAUGCCCAAGUGAGCCGCCGGGACCCGGCGCGGGACAAAAGCUGCUUCGGCUCCUCACACAAAAAUCAGUGUUUGCUGAGGACCUUGUUGAACAAACAACUAGUAAAAAUCCUUCCACAAACAAACCUGUGCACAUUUGUGAGGACAAUUUGUGAGGCCUGGAGUCCUUUCCAGAAUCACGUGAAUAACCCUAAAACCAACUGUUUUACUUCCUCCACUGUGUAUCUGUGUAGCAAUCAAAUCAACUAGACUCCAGGCUCCCAGGUGGCUUUGUGCACUCAGGCUAGACCUUCAGUUGCAAGAGGUAAUGACACAGAAAGGAGGUAUGGAGACUUUCACAGCUAACAGAACUCUUCCAGAGAACAGAGUGUAGAAUCAGAGGGCCCACUCACUGUCCAGUCAUCAAGAUGUCAGGCUGGCAAGAGGCAUAAGGAAGUCUUGCUUUGGGUAAUCUGGAUUUAAGAACAAACGGAGUACAGGAUGAUCUGAGCAGAGAUACACACCGUGGGACAUCACGGUGUAUGAAAACCUGGCUUUUGAGUUCAGAUGGUCACCUGGUCAAGAUCAUCUGACACUUACUUCAGGGCUUGAUUUUUCUUCACUGGAGAGAAAUCUAUUUCAGAAUCAUUAAGGCCUGAAGUUGCCAACCAGGGAUGACUGUCCCUCUAAGAAACACUUAGCGGUUCGAAGACUUUCUCUUUGUUCCAGGCAGGGUGGCCACGGGAAUGCAGCAGGUAGAAUUCAGAGAUGAUAAAAAUACCCUAAAUGUCUAGACUGCCCUCUUUCUACUGAGAACUAUCCAGCCUCGGGUGAAAGUGUGGAGGAAAGAAACCUCAACCCCCAAAUGGUUUGUAUUUGAUUAAGUUCAUUUUAGGAAGAAAUUGGGCCUAAAUUCCAAUUAUUUUCAAUAGCUGACAAAAUUAGCCAUUUGGUAAAUGGAAUUAGCCUAAAGGGUUUAUCAAUGUCCACUCCUACCUUCAAUUUUUCCAGACCCAAGAAGUAAGUGAUUUUCAGGAAAAUUGGUGAAACACAUGGAUCAUAUUUUCUUAAGUUUUAUUUUGAAGUAUAAAACAAUUAAGGCCAGAUGGGUUUUGGUUGAAAAUCACUAAUAAAUACUUCAAGUCCGCAACUUUGCUGUAACUCAGAAAAAUGUCACUAAUAACAGCUACACACCAAGUGGAACUAGAAGAACUCAGUGUUUGGAGGUGUCACCCAACAGAAGUAUCCGUGAGUGAUGUCUGCAUCUUCAUAGCCCCCAGAAACACCUCCCUUCCUCAAUCAGUUAAAGAAACAGGCAUCGGAGGAAGCAAUGUCCAAGUCUGUAUGCAUUCUCUGGACAGGGUCCUUAGACAGAGUAAAACCUCCGUUUCAAACUCAGAGUUCUCUGCAUGCUCCUCCGCUGGCAGGGUGAUCCCUGCCUUACUCUACCCUAUUACUAAUAACUGUAGGAAGUACAGAUAACCAAGCAGAGUUUCAGAGCCAGCAAGGCUCAAAGAAAUGACAAGUGAAGACACUCGGCAGGCCAGAGCAGGGAAGCACAGCCAUGUGCAGCACAAAUGGUCAAAAGAAGCCUUACGUUUCUCUUUGAAGAGAAUAAACCGGCUGGAGAGGUGGCCCAAACUGCUCUCCCUGAGGAGAGGAGAGGUGGCCCAGUUAGGAGCACAAACCGCUCUCCCUGAGGAGAGGAGAGGUGGCCUAAGUUAGGAGCACAAACCGCUCUCCCUGAGGAGAGGGAAGGUGGCCCACAGUUAGGAGCACAAACUGCUCUUCCUGAGGAGAGGGAAGGUGGCCCACAGUUAGGAGCACAAACCCCUCUCCCUGAGGACCUGAGUGAGAUGCCAGAACACAGUGGAGUGGCUCUCGAUCACCUAUAACUGCCACUCCAGGGGAACCAGUGCCCUCUUCUGGCCUCUGUGGGCAAUUGCACUUACAUGCACAAACCCACAAACAGAUGUGCAAAUGCACACACACAAAUAUAAAAAUAAACCUUAAAAAAGACAGAGAAUAAACCAAAGGGUCACACCAACAGGAGAUCACACUAAAGUGAUUUUUUAUAGAAUAAUUGAAAGUAUUUUCCAGUAAAAUUCUACUGUUCAGGUGUGGAAGGCAUCCACGCUAAUCAGUAAGCCAGGUCUGGCAGCACGCAUCUGAACUCCUAGCACUGGAUAGGCUGACAUGGGAGAAUAGUGAGUUCAAGGCCAGCCUGGACUGCAUAGUGUGCCCCUGUUUCAAAAAUAAAAAGGAACCCAG
ensembl:lncRNA